GCCAGUAGCUCAGUCGGUAGAGCAGCGCCCUUUUAAGGCGUUGGUUGCGAGUUCGAGUCUCGCCCG
rnacentral:tRNA from 1 species